ACGCCUAACACAUGCAAGUCGAACGCAGUAGCAAUACUGAGUGGCAAACGGGUGAGUAACACGUAAGAAUCUACCUUUGGGACGGGGAUAACUUCUGGAAACGGAUGCUAAUACCCGAUACGCUGUGGAGUGAAAGAAUUUCGCCCAAAGAUGAUCUUGCGUCUGAUUAGCUAGUUGGUAGGGUAAUGGCUUACCAAGGCGACGAUCAGUAGCUGGUCUGAGAGGAUGGACAGCCACAUUGGAACUGAGACACGGUCCAAACUCC
rnacentral:rRNA from 2 species